GCAUAUCAAUAAGCGGAGGAAAAGAAAAUAACAAUGAUUCCCCCAGUAACUGCGAGUGAAGAGGGAUAAGCUCAAAUUUUAAAUCUGUCAGGUGAUACCUGGCCGAGUUGUAAUUUGAAGAAGCGUUUUCUGCGCGUUCUGGUCAGCUCAAGUUCCUUGGAACAGGGCAUCAUGGAGGGUGAGAAUCCCGUUCGGUUGACCAGGUGCGUUUUAUGAUACGCUUUCAAAGAGUCAAGUUGUUUGGGAUUGCAGCUUAAAAUGGGAGGUAAAUUUCUCCUAAGGCUAAAUAUUGGCGAGAGACCGAUAGCGAACAAGUACCGUGAGGGAAAGAUGAAAAGCACUUUGAAAAGAGAGUUAAAUAGCACGUGAAAUUGUUGAAAGGGAAACGAUUGAAGUCAGUCGUACUGACGGGAAUUCAACCUUUCGGGUAUGAUCUUGUGGAUGCUUGAGAGUUUAACGGCCUCAGCGUUUUCAAGUUCGUGCUCUUGGGCGUAUUUUCUCGUAUAGUAAGUUAACAUCAAUUUUGGUCGUUAUAAAAUGAUCGGAGGAAAGUAGCUUCAAUUUAUCGAAGUGUUAUAGACUCUGGUAAAUGUAACGAUUGGGAUUGAGGAUUGCAACGAAUACCCGUCAGGGCUAUCCGUCUGGCCUCUGAUCGUUACCUUGGUGCCGAAAGCUUGCUUACGGUUAUUGAGGUUGAUGGUCAAAAGGUUAGAACGUGAUUAAAUUCGUUAAGGAUGUUGACGUA
rnacentral:rRNA from 1 species